AAGAAAUUAGUUAAAAUAUAACAUUGAUAUGUCAAAUCAAAGUAACUAACUUAUAGUAUUUCUUAA
rnacentral:tRNA from 1 species